rnacentral:rRNA from 1 species
AAAAAGCUCGUAGUUGGAUUUCUGUGUGAGAGGGACGGGAAGGCGCAAGCGUUUUUUCUGACCUUUUGCACAUCCUGUCGCAAACCACGGUGCUCUUUACUGUAGUGUCGCUGGGGAUCGACUCGUUUACUUUGAGAAAAAUAGAGUGUUCAAAGCAGGGUAUGCCUCUGAAUAAGUUAGCAUGGAAUAAUGAUAAAGGACUUCGGUUCAUUUUGUUGGUGUUUGGGACUGAAGUAAUGAUUGAUAGGGACAGUUGGGGGCAUCAGUAUUCAAAAGCGAGAGGUGAAAUUCUUAGACCUUUUGAAGACUAACCGCUGCGAAAGCGUUUGCCAAGGAUGUUCCCUUUGAUCAAGAACUAAAGUUUGGGGAUCGAAGACGAUCAGAUACCGUCGUAGUCUGAACUAUAAACUAUACCAGCUAGGGAUCGGCCGGCGUAAUAUUUAAGGACUCGGUCGGCACCUUAUGAGAAAUUAAAGCAUUUGGGUUCCGGGGGGAGUAUGGUCGCAAGGCUGAAACUUAAAGGAAUUGACGGAAGGGCACCACCAGGUGUGGAGCCUGUGGCUUAAUUUGACUC